rfam:Parvibaculum lavamentivorans DS-1, complete genome.
GCGGGCGUGGCGGAAUUGGUAGACGCGCUGGAUUUAGGUUCCAGUGCCGCAAGGCGUGGGGGUUCGAGUCCCUCCGCCCGCA